UACGGAGGAUCCGAGCGUUAUCCGGAAUUACUGGGCGUAAAGAGUUGCGUAGGUGGCAUUGUAUGUCGAUAGUGAAAGCGUGUGGCUCAACCAUAUACACAUUAUCGAAACUGCAAGGCUAGAGGACGAGAGAGGUUAUUGGAAUUCUCAGUGUAGGAGUGGAAUCCGUAGAUAUUGGGAGGAACACCGAUGGCGUAGGCAGAUAACUGGCUCGUUCCUGACACUAAGGCACGAAAGCGUGGGGAGCAAACGGG
rnacentral:rRNA from 1 species